UGGGGAAUAUUGCACAAUGGGCGCAAGCCUGAUGCAGCGACGCCGCGUGAGGGAUGGAGGCCUUCGGGUUGUAAACCUCUUUCGCCAGUGAAGCAGGCCAUCUUCUUUGUGGGGUGGUUGACGGUAGCUGGAUAAGAAGCGCCGGCUAACUACGUGCCAGCAGCCGCGGUAAUACGUAGGGCGCGAGCGUUGUCCGGAAUUAUUGGGCGGAAAGAGCUCGUAGGCGGCUGGUCGCGUCUGUCGUGAAAUCCCCUGGCUUAACUGGGGGCUUGCGAUGGGUACGGGCCGGCUUGAGUGCGGUAGGGGAGACUGGAAUUCCUGGUGUAGCGGUGGAAUGCGCAGAUAUCAGGAGGAACGCCGGUGGCGAAGGCGGGUCUCUGGGCCGUUACUGACGCUGAGGAGCGAAAGCGUGGGGAGCGAACAGG
rnacentral:rRNA from 1 species